AUUGAACGCUGGCGGCAUGCUUUACACAUGCAAGUCGAACGGUAACAGCACUUCGGUGGCUGACGAGUGGCGAACGGGUGAGUAAUACAUCGGAACGUGCCUAGUAGUGGGGGAUAACUACUCGAAAGAGUAGCUAAUACCGCAUGAGAUCUAAGGAUGAAAGCAGGGGACCUUCGGGCCUUGCGCUACUAGAGCGGCUGAUGGCAGAUUAGGUAGUUGGUGGGAUAAAAGCUUACCAAGCCGACGAUCUGUAGCUGGUCUGAGAGGACGACCAGCCACACUGGGACUGAGACACGGCCCAGACUCCUACGGGAGGCAGCAGUGGGGAAUUUUGGGCAAUGGGCGCAAGCCUGAUCCAGCAAUGCCGCGUGCAGGAUGAAGGCCUUCGGGUUGUAAACUGCUUUUGUACGGAACGAAAAGCCCUCUUCUAAUACAGGAGGGUCAUGACGGUACCGUAAGAAUAAGCACCGGCUAACUACGU
rnacentral:rRNA from 1 species